CACUCCCCUUGCUAACUACACCAGCCACCCAAGGUCUGGUGUGGGUAUGAGUGUAAUGGACCUUGAUGCUGCUCCUAUCUACUGCCACGUGUGGUGCCCAUCCCCCAUGCUGGCACUGUGCCAUGUGGACAGCCAGGUGUCCUUCCAGCCCUCCUCAGCUGUGGAGCUGAGUUGACCAAGCUACUGUUAAGCACCUUCUCCCUUCUAGUGGGCUGGCAAGCAUGGCUGUAGGGGGCCCCCACUCUGGCACUAAGCUGCUCCCUUCACAUGAUCAGCCCUGAUCUAUGGCACUAACAACAACCUGGUGAUCUAUCUUCAGUGUGACAUGGACCCCAGCACCUACCACGUGCUGAGCAAUCUCAAGAUUGGAAGCGGGCCCUGUUCCACUGUCUCUGCCUCCAGCACUGCUUCUCUGCACCUCAGGGGUUUGCACUGCUGCUGCAGAUGGCUGCGGGGGUCUGCUAUCCACCAGAUGGCCUGUAAGACCUUCGAAACACCCUUCCCAGGCCCCCUCCAGAAGCUGCUGCCAGCCCCAUGCCCCUACAUAUCACUCCGCUGGGCCUGCUGCUCCUCAUCCUGGACUGCCUCAUCUCAAGCCUGUCGUCACUGCAUACAGAGCUGCUCAUGAAGAGACGGCAGCUGCCCCUGGCACUUCAGAAUGUCUUCCUCUACACCUUUGGUGUGCUCCUGAAUCUAGAUCUGCAUGCCGCUAGUGGCCCCGGCCCAGGCCUCCUGGAAGGCUUGUCAGCAUGGGCAGAACUUGUGGUGCUGAGGCAGGGCUAAAUGGACUGCUCCUGUCAUGUCCGCUGUCAUGAAGCACAGCAGCAGCAUCCCAUGCCUCUUCGUUGUGUCCUGCUCACUGGUGGUCAAUGCCGUGCUCUCAGCAGUCCUGCUGUGGCUGCAGCUCACAGCCACCUUCUUCCUGGCCAUGCUGCUCAUCAUUAGCCUGGCCGUGUGCCCGUGCUAUGGCAGACGCUA
rnacentral:lncRNA from 1 species